GUCCACACCGUAAACGAUGGAUACUAGGUGUAGGGAACGAUAUGUUUUCUGUGCCGAAAGCAAACGCAAUAAGUAUCCCACCUGGGGAGUACGGCCGCAAGGUUGAAACUCAAAGGAAUUGACGGGGGCCCGCACAAGCAGUGGAGUAUGUGGUUUAAUUCGAAGCAACGCGAAGAACCUUACCAGGGCUUGACAUAUACAGGAAUACUUAAGAAAUUAGGUAGUCUUUCGAGACUUGUAUACAGGUGGUGCAUGGUUGUCGU
rnacentral:rRNA from 1 species